GCAGCCGUAAAUCCCAAGUCGUCUCGUUCGCAUCGAGAAGGUCAGGGGUUCGAUUCCCCUCAGCUCCA
rnacentral:tRNA from 1 species